rnacentral:rRNA from 1 species
GACGAACGCUGGCGGCGUGCUUAACACAUGCAAGUCGAACGGAAAGGCCCUGCUUUUGUGGGGUGCUCGAGUGGCGAACGGGUGAGUAACACGUGAGUAACCUGCCCUUGACUUUGGGAUAACUUCAGGAAACUGGGGCUAAUACCGGAUAGGAGCUCCUGCUGCAUGGUGGGGGUUGGAAAGUUUCGGCGGUUGGGGAUGGACUCGCGGCUUAUCAGCUUGUUGGUGGGGUAGUGGCUUACCAAGGCUUUGACGGGUAGCCGGCCUGAGAGGGUGACCGGAAACAUAGGGACUGAGAUACGGCCCAGACUCCUACGGGAGGCAGCAGUGGGGAAUAUUGCACAAUGGGCGGAAGCAUGAUGAAGCAACGCCGCGUGCGGGAUGACGGCCUUCGGGUUGUAAAACGCUUGAGACUGUGACGAAGCGUGAGUGACGGUAAUGGGUAAAGAAGCACCGGCUAACUACGUG